rnacentral:hammerhead_ribozyme from 1 species
GUCUACCUGAGGAGACCCAAGAAGGUCGAAACCGGUCGUGGAC